rnacentral:rRNA from 1 species
AUUGAACGCUGGCGGCAGGCCUAACACAUGCAAGUCGAACGGUAACAGGAAACAGCUUGCUGUUUCGCUGACGAGUGGCGGACGGGUGGGUAAUGUCUGGGAAACUGCCUGAUGGAGGGGGAUAACUACUGGAAACGGUAGCUAAUACCGCAUAACGUCGCAAGACCAAAGAGGGGGACCUUCGGGCCUCUUGCCGUCGGAUGUGCCCAGAUGGGAUUAGCUAGUAGGUGGGGUAACGGCUCACCUAGGCGACGAUCCCUAGCUGGUCUGAGAGGAUGACCAGCCACACUGGAACUGAGACACGGUCCAGACUCCUACGGGAGGCAGCAGUGGGGAAUAUUGCACAAUGGGCGCAAGCCUGAUGCAGCCAUGCCGCGUGUAUGAAGAAGGCCUUCGGGUUGUAAAGUACUUUCAGCGGGGAGGAAGGGAGUAAAGUUAAUACCUUUACUCAUUGACGUUACCCGCAGAAGAAGCACCGGCUAACUCCGUG